rnacentral:tRNA from 1 species
UCUCUAAAUAGUUUAAAAAGAACAAGACUUUGAAGAAGUUAAGGUAGUGUAAACUUUUGGAGGA